rnacentral:rRNA from 1 species
UACGUAGGGGGCAAGCGUUGUCCGGAAUCAUUGGGCGUAAAGCGCGUGUAGGCGGCUCGAUUAGUCCGCUCUGAAAGCCCGGGGCUCAACCCCGGGAGGCGGGCGGAUACUGGGAGGCUUGAAUCCGGGAGAGGGAUGUGGAAUUCCAGGUGUAGCGGUGAAAUGCGUAGAUAUCUGGAGGAACACCGGUGGCGAAGGCGGCAUCCUGGACCGGUAUUGACGCUGAUGCGCGAAAGCCAGGGGAGCAAACGGG